ACAGACGAAGAGCGUAACUGUUUGACAGUGACGUUUGUAACUGCCUGGUAGUGGGCCAUUCAGAGCUGCCUGGAGUUUGUUACAAAGAGUAGUGGCGUCAGGGAUCGUUCAGAGCCAUGUGGAGUUUGCUACGGAGAGUAGAGUGGUGUCCAUUGUCGUGACUUGCCAGAGAGUAGUGGAGCCACACAGAAUCCGCUGCAGAGAGUGGAGCAGGGUAGUGGCCAUUAUCGUGACUUGCCAGAGAGUUCGGAUCUGUCGGCUGAAGCUCGGCUGGGAUAUCUGACGGAGCGGAAUGGCUCUCUAUCCCGUCGAUCUGGAAGAAGCUUAGAUGCCUCGAAGCUGCUGAUGAGUCUACUACUGUCGGAUACCUUAGGCACUGAUACCACAGGUGGGAGUUAUCUGCUGUAGAAGAUCAGAUGGAGACUUUCCAUUGGUGAAGUCCGACAGGAGUCGGAUUGCUAGAGAAGUCCAUCUGAAAUUCGCCUGAUGUGGAAGCUCGUCUGAAGAUGAUCCGCCAGAGAAGUUCGAUUUCAUGAAGGAUCUGGUGGGGGGUCGGCCGGCGAUGGACUUCGGAUGGCACUGAGGAGGUUCGACAGACGUCGGAGGCGAUCGGUCGUUGUAAGAAUCCAGCUGUCGGAGUCCAUCCGUCAUAGAAGCCCGUCUGGGAUUCGGCUACGAAGAAGCUCGUCUGGAAUCCAGCUACGAAGAAGCUCGGCUACAGUCUACCUGUAAUGGAAGUUCGGAAAAGGUGUGUUUACAGUAGGGGCUCGAAU
rnacentral:lncRNA from 1 species